UGUUCAUUUCCACGAAGUUUAAUGUUAAAAUCCUUUGCAUAUUUGUUAAUGUUUCAAAAUAGAAAAUCACAACAAAAAAUAAUUAAACAAGUAAUAAAAUUGACAAUCAAGCAGAAUAAAUGGGUUGCCUCCCUUAAAGCGCUUGCUUUAAUGUCUUCCAGCCGGACGAUGAACACAAUUACUCCCCACUGGAGCCCACGGCAUGCAAGGGAAUGUCCUCCACAACAUGCUCAACAAAGUUCUCAUAGAUUACAUCCUUGA
rnacentral:lncRNA from 1 species